CCUACGGGAGGCAGCAGUGGGGAAUAUUGGACAAUGGGCGAAAGCCUGAUCCAGUCAUGCCGCGUGUGUGAAGAAGGCCUUCGGGUUGUAAAGCACUUUCAGUGGGGAAGAAAGCCUUGGGGCUAAUACCCUCGAGGAAGGACAUCACCCACAGAAGAAGCACCGGCUAACUCCGUGCCAGCAGCCGCGGUAAUACGGAGGGUGCGAGCGUUAAUCGGAAUUACUGGGCGUAAAGCGCGCGUAGGCGGUCUGAUAAGCCGGUUGUGAAAGCCCCGGGCUCAACCUGGGAACGGCAUCCGGAACUGUCAGGCUAGAGUGCAGGAGAGGAAGGUAGAAUUCCCGGUGUAGCGGUGAAAUGCGUAGAGAUCGGGAGGAAUACCAGUGGCGAAGGCGGCCUUCUGGACUGACACUGACGCUGAGGUGCGAAAGCGUGGGUAGCAAACAGGAUUAGAUACCCGGGUAGUC
rnacentral:rRNA from 1 species